rnacentral:rRNA from 1 species
CCUACGGGAGGCUGCAGUGAGGAAUAUUGGGCCAUGGGCGCGAGCCUGAACCAGCCACGUAGCGUGAAGGAUGACUGCCCUACGGGUUGUAACCUUCUUUUGUAAAGGAAUAAAGUGAGUCACGUGUGCCUUUUUGUAUGUACUUUAUGAAUAAGGAUCGGCUAACUACGUUCCAGCAGACGCGGUAAUACGGAGGAUCCGAGCGUUAUCCGGAUUUAUUGGGUUUAAAGGGAGCGUAGAUGGGUUGUUAAGUAAGUUGUGAAAGUUUGCGGCUCAACCGGAAAAUUGCAAUUGAUACUGGCAGUCUUGAGUACAGUUGAGGUAGGCGGAAUUCGUGGUGUAGCGGUGAAAUGCGUAGAUAUCACGAAGAACUCCGAUUGCGAAGGCAGCUGACUAAACUGCAACUGACAUUGAGGCUCGAAAGUGUGGGUAUCAAACAGGAUUAGAUACCCGGGUAGUC